rnacentral:rRNA from 1 species
AGGAUUAACGCUGGCGGCGUGCCUAACACAUGCAAGUCGAACGGACCUUUAUUUUUGAGACGCCCCAUAUCUUGGAGCGUCCCAUAAAUAAUGGUUAGUGGCGGACGGGUGAGUAACACGUUGGUACCUGCCCUCUAGUGGGGGAUAAGCCCGAGAAAUCGGGUCUAAUACCGCAUGUGAUCUAUGGAUCAAAGCAGCAAUGCGCUAGAGGAGGGGCCUGCGGCUGAUUAGCUUGUUGGUAGGGUAAUGGCCUACCAAGGCGACGAUCAGUAGCUGGAUCGAGAGGUUGACCAGCCACACUGGGACUGAGAUACGGCCCAGACUCCUACGGGAGGCAGCAGUGAGGAAUUUUCCACAAUGGAC